UUCCGGUUGAUCCUGCCGGACCUGACUGCUAUCGGAUUGAUACUAAGCCAUGCGAGUCUUUGUAGUAAUACAAGGCAUACGGCUCAGUAACGCGUAGUCAACCUACCCUAUGGACAAGAAUAAUCUCGGGAAACUGAGCAUAAUUCUUGAUAGAUCAUAAUGCCUGGAAUGGUUUAUGGUUAAAAUGAUUCGUCGCCAUAGGAUGGGACUGCGGCCUAUCAGCUUGUUGGUGAGGUAAUGGCCCACCAAGGCGAUUACAGGUACGGGCUCUGAGAGGAGAAGCCCGGAGAUGGGUACUGAGACAAGGACCCAGGCCCUAUGGGGCGCAGCAGGCGAGAAAACUUUGCAAUGUGCGAAAGCACGACAAGGUUAGUCCGAGUGAUUUCUGCUAAAGAAAUCUUUUGCUAGUUAUAAAACCACUAGUGAAUAAGGGGUGGGCAAGUUCUGGUGUCAGCCGCCGCGGUAAAACCAGCACCUCAAGUGGUCAGGAUGAUUAUUGGGCCUAAAGCAUCCGUAGCCGGCUCUGUAAGUUUUCGGUUAAAUCUAUGCGCUCAACGUAUGGGCUGCCGAAAAUACUGUAGAGAUAGGGAGUGGGAGAGGUAGACGGUACUCGGUAGGAAGGGGUAAAAUCCUUUGAUCUAUCGAUGACCACCUGUGGCGAAGGCGGUCUACCAGAACACGUUCGACGGUGAGGGAUGAAAGCUGGGGGAGCAAACCGGAUUAGAUACCCGGGUAGUCCCAGCUGUAAACGAUGCAGACUCGAUGAUGCAUUGGCAUAUAGCCAGUGCAGUGUCGCAGGGAAGCCGUUAAGUCUGCCGCCUGGGAAGUACGUACGCAAGUAUGAAACUUAAAGGAAUUGGCGGGGGAGCACCACAAGGGGUGAAGCCUGCGGUUCAAUUGGAGUCAACGCCGG
rnacentral:rRNA from 1 species